rfam:TPA: Bos taurus chromosome 4, whole genome shotgun sequence.
UCCCUGGUGGCUCAGUUGGUAAAGAAUCUGCCUGCAAUGCAGGAGACCUGGGUUCGAUCCCUGGGUUGGGAA